GUGAACGCUGCGGUAGGCCUACCACAUGCACGUCGAACGGCAGCACAGUAAGAGCUUGCUCUUACGGGUGGCGAGUGGCGGACGGGUGAGGAAUACAUCGGAAUCUACUUUUUCGUGGGGGAUAACGUAGGGAAACUUACGCUAAUACCGCAUACGACCUACGGGUGAAAGCAGGGGAUCUUCGGACCUUGCGCGAUUGAAUGAGCCGAUGUCGGAUUAGCUAGUUGGCGGGGUAAAGGCCCACCAAGGCGACGAUCCGUAGCUGGUCUGAGAGGAUGAUCAGCCACACUGGAACUGAGACACGGUCCAGACUCCUACGGGAGGCAGCAGUGGGGAAUAUUGGACAAUGGGCGCAAGCCUGAUCCAGCCAUACCGCGUGGGUGAAGAAGGCCUUCGGGUUGUAAAGCCCUUUUGUUGGGAAAGAAAAGCAGCAGGUUAAUACCCCGCUGUUCUGACGGUACCCAAAGAAUAAGCACCGGCUAACUUCGUG
rnacentral:rRNA from 1 species